AGCAAGUCGUUUGCCUAUGCAAGCACUGCAAGAUCCUCAUUGUAGCAUGCCAACAGAUAGAACCAGCAGCAAUGGAACAAUUUUGAACCCUUUGAGUGGAUUAGCAAUUGAAAAUUCGAUAACUAUUGAUCGAAAUUUGAAUGGAGCGCUGAGUCCCGAGCUUUCAGGAGUGAAUUCGCUAUCAAACUACAGCAAUGUAAUAAGCACUGGCUCUGAUAAUGGUUUACUGCCCCG
rnacentral:misc_RNA from 1 species